GGGCCUGUAGCUCAGUAGAGCACGUGGCUACGAACCACGGUGUCGGGGGUUCGAAUCCCUCCUCGCCCA
rnacentral:tRNA from 1 species